rnacentral:lncRNA from 1 species
GCGACAUCAAUAAUCCAAACCUUUUUCUUUUCCACAACUGUGAUGUCUGGUGUGUUGUGUUCCAGAACUUUGUCAGUCUGGAUUCGGAAGUCCCACAGUAUCUUUGCGUGCUCAUUCUCCAAUACUUUUGCAGGUUUGUGAUCCCACCAGUUCUUUGCUGCUGGGAGGUGGUGCUUGAGGCAUAAGUUCCAAUGAAUCAUUUGGGCCACAUAGUUGUGUCUCUGUUUGUAGUCUGUCUGUGCGAUUUUCUUACAGCAGCUGAGGAUAUGAUCAAUGGUUUCGUCGGUUUCCUUGCACAGUCUGCAUUUUGGGUCAGUUGAUUUUUUGAUCUUGGAUCAUAUCCUCAGCUGCUGUAAGAAAAUCGCACAGAUAGACUACAAACAGAGGCACAACUAUGUGGCCCAAAUGAUUCAUUGGAACUUAUGCCUCAAGUACCACCUGCCAACAGUAAAGAACUGGUGGGAUCACAAACCUGCAAAAGUAUUGGAAAAUGAGCAAGCAAAGAUACUGUGGGACUUCCGAAUCCAGAUUGACAAAGUUCUGGAACACAACACACCAGACAUCACAGUUGUGGAAAAGAAAAAGGUUUGGAUCAUUGAUGUUGCCAUUCUAGGUGACAGUCGCAUUGACGAAAAACAAUAGGAAAAACUCAGCCGCUAUCAGGACCUCCAACUUGAACUGCAAAGACUCUGGCAGAAACCAGUGCAGGUGGUCCCGGUGGUGAUGGGCACACUGGGUGCCAUGCCAAAAGAUCUCAGCCGGCAUUUGGAAACAAUAGACAUUGACAAAAUUACGAUCUGCCAACUGCAAAAGGCCACCCUACUGGGAUCUGCACGUAUCAUCCGAAAAUACAUCACACAGUCCUAGACACUUGGGAAGUGUUCGACUUGUGAUUUUGUGAUACGAAAUCCAGCAUAUCUAUCUUGUUUGCUGUGUCAUACAACAACAACAUAAUAAUAAUAAUAAUAAUAAUAAUAAUAAUAAUAAUAAUAAUAAUAAUAAUAAUUUUUCAUGUCAGGAGUGACUUGAGAAAUUGCAAGUCACUUCUGGUG